rnacentral:lncRNA from 10 species
GGACCUGGACCUGUCACUGGAUUCGUUCACACGGGCCAAGCUUUCCCACUGGCCCAUGUCUGAGGCCAUCAUCUCUGUGGCCAGUGCACAGGGGAGGACGCUGCACCAGUUUAGGAACUGCACUAACCACAAGGAGAGUAAGAAGCAGGAGUGAAAUGGCCAAAGGCUGGAUUCAGGAAGUGGAGAAGGCAAACUCCACGUGGGCAG